AUGAACGCUGGCGGCGUGCCUAACACAUGCAAGUCGAGCGGCAGCGAGGGGUGCUUGCACCCUGUCGGCGAGCGGCGGAUGGCUGAGUAACGCGUGGGAACGUGCCCCAAAGUGAGGAAUAACUGCCCGAAAGGGUAGCUAAUACCGCAUAUUAUCUUCGGAUCAAAGGAUUUAUCCGCUUUGGGAGCGGCUCGCGUCGGAUUAGGUAGUUGGUGAGGUAAUGGCUCACCAAGCCGACGAUCCGUAGCUGGUCUGAGAGGAUGACCAGCCAGACUGGAACUGAGACACGGUCCAGACUCCUACGGGAGGCAGCAGUGAGGAAUCUUCCACAAUGGGCGAAAGCCUGAUGGAGCAACGCCGCGUGCAGGACGAAGGCCUUCGGGUUGUAAACUGCUUUUAUAAGUGAGGAAUAUGACGGUAACUUAUGAAUAAGGAUCGGCUAACUACGUG
rnacentral:rRNA from 1 species